rnacentral:lncRNA from 1 species
GGAUAGGUGCCUUAUUUUUCGGCGAGGAUUUCCGGCAAGCUACAGUACUUCCGGCGACCCCCGUUCAGACUUUCGGCAGGACGCAAUAGAACUACACCUUCCGAUAAGCUUCAGGAAAACUUGCCCAGGUACUAGUCGCGGUGACAAGGCCAGUUUGCUGCGUUUGGGAGUGAAGAGCUAAGCAACACCGGCCGGGACAUGCAAGAGUCGGUAGCAGUUGACCUUGGGCGCAUCAAAGCCUACUUUCAGGUUUUUCCUCCGGGAGUUGGUACCUCCCGCUCUCUUGUUUGCGGAGUGAAGAGCUAAGCAACACCGGCCGGGACAUGCAAGAGUCGGUAGCAGUUGACCUUGGGCGCAUCAAAGCCUACUUUCAGGUUUUUCCACCGGGAGUUGGUACCUCCAUCUCUCUUGUUACUUUGUACACCUUCUUACGUAUUUUAGCUAGC